GGGCGAUUAGCUCAGCUGGUUAGAGCGCAUGCUUGACAUGCAUGAGGUCACUGGUUCGAGUCCAGUAUCGCCCACCA
rnacentral:tRNA from 2 species